rnacentral:lncRNA from 1 species
AUGCCGCUCCGCCCGCGCUGCGUCCCCGCGUGCGCGCCGGGUUAUCCGGUCUUUGAGCAUGGCAGAUUUUCACUAGAUGACAUCAUGGGAGCUAGCGAGUGCCGGCUCCACAAGGGGGACGGAGAAGGGGAGGGAGAAGGGGAGGGGAGAGGCUGGGAAGCCGCGCCAGAGCCGUUGCCUGCCGCCCGCCGUCCUUCCGCCAGCCCGGGAGGAGCGCUCCGCUGGUUACUGACAAAGGAUGGGAGGAUGACUGCGCCCCGAGAUGAGCGUUGUGCGCAGCCCGGCGGCCGCCUGAGCAGCUUCGCCCUUCGCCGCAGGGGACCAGAUGUCUGAGAAGCCUUCUGACCCUGGAAGUAUGGCAAGUGGGCAUCUGCUGUGUUAAACAUAUUGCAAAACUUGAAAAAAAAAAAAAAAAAAAAGAUUUUAUUUUUCCCAUUUGGAUAAAGCUUGUAGUUUUAUCUUGUAAGAAAAAGCCAUUGAGAGGAAAGCCAGGGGUUCUGCUGGGUCACAAAGUCUUCAUUAUGAUGCUCUCAGUAAUGACCACACAGGACAGUUAAUGAGUUGACCUGGGGUGUAUGGUACAGCAAUUGAUACCUGAUAUCUGCCUGGGUUGCUGAUCACAUGGAUGGUUCUGGGAUGCUGAUCACAUGGAUGGUCCUGGGAUCCUGCUGAUAUUGGCUGCUAAAAUAUGCCACUCUCUGAACUAAUGCCAUCUUUAAUUAAAGUCUUUAUCAAUGGUUCUCAGAUUUUGGUGUGAAUCACAAAUACCUGUAUAAUAGCUAAAGAUCCAGAUUCUUGGGUUCCACUGACAGAAAGUUUGACAUUUUGAGUGAGAGGAACAAUCUAUCACUUUUCUAGUGGUUUGUGUCUCCCAGAGAGAGGGACUUCCAGCUACAAUGUAAGCACCUAUGUUGUAGUACUAUUUGUACCUGUGAAGCUAUUAAGAAAGAAAAAAACAGGCAUUAUUAUAGCUAUGAUCUCGCUAUAAGAAGAAAAAUGAAGCUCUAGAUGGCCCCUUAUUUAUUUCAAAGCACAACUAGUACAUUGAAAUUGCAGCAUAAAUAAUUUGAAUGUUCUGUGGCUGGUACAGCUGGUUAAACUGUAUAUUCACAAUGCAUAGACUAUGGACUUCCAUAAUUUACUUAAAGUGUACCAGAAAUAAGAACUUCAGAGAGACUCUUUCUUCUCCAUAGAAGCAGCAGCUAAAGUAUGUAUCUUGGUAUAUAUCAGAAGUAGUAACUUGAUUGAAGGAUUUCACUUCAGACAGGUCUGAUGAAGUUCAAAGCUUUUAAAUACAUCAGAAAAGAAUAUUGAAAACAGUGGCAAAUGAGAG